UACGUAGGGUGCGAGCGUUAAUCGGAUUUACUGGGCGUAAAGCGUGCGCAGGCGGCCCGUUAAGACAGGUGUGAAAUCCCUGGGCUCAACCUAGGAAUUGCGCUUGUGACUGGCGGGCUCGAGUACGGUAGAGGGGGGUGGAAUUCCUGGUGUAGCAGUGAAACGCGUAGAGAUCAGGAGGAACACCGAUGGCGAAGGCAGCCCCCUGGGCCUGUACUGACGCUCAUGCACGAAAGCGUGGGGAGCAAACAGG
rnacentral:rRNA from 1 species